UGUGUGUGUGUGUGUGUGUGUUAACACCUUUGAAUAUAUGAAAAAUACCUGACUUACAAACUGAAUUGCCAUCCUAACAUGCUAAUGAAAAGUAAAGUACUAAGCACAACCAAACGAUAGCAAGUCAUAGUAUCCAAUAGAAGAUAUUGUUCUUUGGAACAUGCAGCAAUUGAAAUGGCGUUCCCUCUGGUCAUCUUAAUUCCAGUACGAAAAAGAGAAGAAAAACAGGAGAAGUUGGAACUUGGAACAGCUAAUGGCAGCCCUUACUUGUAUAAUAGCAGGCCUUCACGAAGAUCCUUUUCUCUUUGUUCCUUCUGUUCUUUUUUCCGCAAGUAAUUUUGCAUUUGAAUUUC
rnacentral:misc_RNA from 1 species